CACGUAGGGCGCGAGCGUUGUCCGGAAUUAUUGGGCGUAAAGAGCUAGUAGGCGGCCUGUUGCGUCCGCUGUGAAAGCCCGGGGCUUAACCCCGGGUCGGCAGUGGAUACGGGCAGGCUAGAGGUAGGUAGGGGAGAAUGGAAUUCCCGGUGUAGCGGUGUAAUGCGCAGAUAUCGGGAGGAACACCGGUGGCGAAGGCGGUUCUCUGGGCCUUACCUGACGCUGAGGAGCGAAAGCGUGGGGAGCGAACAGG
rnacentral:rRNA from 1 species